UGGUUGUAAUGAUGCACUCUUCCAAAUGUUCAGACACCAUAGACCACACAACGCGGCUUGUCUCACGCUUUUCCACAAUGUAGUGAGUGAUUUUUGCACCACCAUCAUCAGCUGGAGGCCGCCAGAGAAGGGUGAUCUUCUCAGCAGUUACAGUCUUAAAUUCAAUUGGUCCACCAGGUGGGCCUGGUUUGUCUAUCAGUGAAAGGACAAAACACGAUGUUAGUACUUCUUUAAAGCCUACUUGUUCAAAAUUACUAAGCUUUAGGCAAAUGUAAUAUGACAGUGGUCUGUAUUCAGCACCUACCAAGGAUCUGUACUCUGAUGGUGGCUGAGGCUGAGCCCAUGGCAUUCCUUAGUUUUAAUUCAUAGCAUCCACUAUUAAGGCGAUCGGCAUCUUUGAUGAGUAUAGAUGCGAGGUCCGUGGUAUUUUCAACACACACCAGUGCAUUGGUUUGUAAUUCUUUAUCAUCUUUAUACCACUCAAUAGUAGGCGCAGGUUUGCCAGAAAUGCCAGCUCUGAGCUUCACAGAUGUACCUGCUCUGUAUUUGACAACUUCUGUAUAUUCUAGAGGCAAAUCAAUUACAGGACCACCUGCAAGAAAAACAGAUGAGAAAUAUUUAAAAUAUUAUAAGGAUGGAAAAAAAAAUAGUUGCACCAACCUUAAAGUAAGGUCAUUGGCCAUUAUUAAAUUAUACACACACACCAUCAUUAUAAUUCUAUGCAAUUAUUAUUUAAAAAUUAAAAAUUUAUAGGCCACUCUUCUAUCUCAGAUGGGGUAGAAAGACUGUGAGUUGUGCAGGGACUUAAGCACCUUUUACAUGUGUUUUAAAGUCCAUUAGUUGCUUUAUUCCAGUGAAGAAAUGGGAUAUGGUAGUGAGAACAUCAUGGAAGAAGCUGUUAAAACAUUUCCUUUCACUUUAGCUUUUCUUUCCUUUUCUUCUACGCACCUCCUAUUCUUUUUCUUUUCCCAUCCCAGUUCACUGAUAUCCAAGUGUGGAUGGUUCAUGUCAGACACUUAAAGUCUGAAUUCUCUACCCACAGAGCUACAUAAUUACUGGACAGAUUUUCUGCCAUGCUGUUUGGAAUUAUCAAGAAAGAUAACUAAAUUCGACUUGCUUUAUACUCUCAUAAACACUGAUUCAGUAUCCACAAAGCCUGAUUCAUAAAUAAUGAACAGCCCUGAGAUUCUCAGCAUGAAGAUGGAAGUGGAUACUUUUGCCCAGACACUACAGUGGCUCAAUUUUCUCUUAGCAAAUGGAGAUCUUUUAGGUAAAGUGUCACAGGAUACCUGACUCUCAUGACGUUUUAAUUUUCAAAACAUUGUUGAGUUGAAUGUGCCACUUAUUUUCCAGAAUGGUGAAGAAUACGCAUUUUGGACUAACCAUGAUAGAGAGGGCUCUGAAGUCUGUCUGUCUGAAUUCCCACUCCAUCCCUAACGGGGAAGUUACAAAAGCACUCUCAGCCUCAGUUUCCCUUCUAUAAGAUGGCUAAUAUGAGGGCUGUGAGAACUAAGGGAAAGAAUUCAUGAAAAUUCCUCAAUAAAUGUUAGCUGCUGCUAAUACUAUCAUCAUCAAAGUCUGUGUUUAGACCAGGCAUGGUGGCUCACACCUGUAAUCCCAACACUUUGGGAGGCCGAGGUGGGUGGAUCACCUGAGGUCAGGAGGUUGAGACCUGCCUGGCCAACAUGGUGAAACUCCGUCCCUACUAAAAAUACAAAAAAUUAGCUGGGUGUGGUGGGGCAUGCCUGUAAUCCCAGCUACUCAGGUGACUGAGGCACGAGAAUCGUUUGAGCCCAGGAGGCGGAAGUUGCAGUGAACCAAGACCGUGCCACUGCACUACAGCCUGGGCGACAGAGUGAGACUCUGUCUCAAAACAAACAAACAAACAAACAAACAAAAAAAAAAAAACCAAAAAAUGAAGUCUCUGUUUAGUCUGUGGCUUAUUUAAGAGCAAUAUUCUCUAGGAACUCAACCAUGGUUUAAUUAUUGACUCUGAUAAUUUAAAACAGAAUGAAAGCACCAACUCAUACAAUCAAUCAUAAAAGGUUGAAGUUGGAAAGGCCCAUAGAUAUCCUGAGGUCUAAAUCUCUCACUUUACAGUCAAGUCAAGAGGGCUGGAAAGGUAUUUAAGGAAUUUUCCUCAGACUCCCAGCUAGUCCAUAAUUUCUUCCAAAAACCCCAUUAAGGCACAGAGUAAAAGUUAUUCUAUAGGAUUAGAACCAGGAAAAGGUAUGCGGAAAUACUGAGUUAAAUAGCAAUUUUGAUUCAAAGUGCUAAGCAUGCUUACCAUAAGAAUCGAUGCAAGUAAUGGGCCCUACAACCUCAGAUGGAUUGCUAAUGGAACCAACAGCAUUCCUAGCAAAGACACGGAAUUCAUACUGGGAAUUCUGAGUCAAGCCAGAGAUGAUGAAUUGAGUUUCAGUAACAUUGGUGAAGCUGGCCUUGGUCCAUCUGCCAUCUGGAAGGUCACGUCUCUCAACAAUGUAGCCUGUAAUCUUGCUACCUCCAUCGAAAGCUGGUUGUUGCCAUGAAAGGCUGACAGAGUUCUUUGAAAUAUCAGUGAUACGAACAUUUCUUGGGGGUUCUGUGGUAAUAAGAGAAGCAGAUUAGCGGCACUUAUAAUAUUUUGCUUCGCAGAAGUAAGAUUUGCAUUUUUGUUAUCAGAACUGCCCUUCCCAUGACAAAUACGUACCACAAGCAUCAAUUGCCAAGACUGGUUCAGAAGGAUGGCUAGGUUUUCCAACUCCAGCAGCAUUUUCUGCAUACACCCUGAAUUCAUAAAUAAGUCCAGCACUGAUUGUUGUGACUUUGAAGUGAGUUGUGCGGAUGACCAGUUUGUUGGCUUUUUGCCAUAAAAUACUGUUUCUGUCUUUCAUUUCCAGGUGAUAGCCUACGACUGCACUGCCUCCAUUUGACACUGGUUCAUGCCAGCCCACAGUGAUGCUUUCUCGAGUAACAUUAGUGACCCAUGGUGUAGAUGGUGGUCCAGGUGUUGCUACAAAAGAGAGAAAUCCUAUAGAUUAGUACAGACAAUAACACAUUUAUGGUAAAAGAAAACCUGGAUCUUUGAAAAGUUGGACAACUUACUGUAUGGUAGUUUGACAGUCACACAAGCUGAAUCUAUAUGAUCACUGAUGCCAAAGCGGUUUUCUGCCUUGAUGCGGAAUUGGUAUUCUUCUCCUGUGGUCAGUUUCAUGACUUUCAUCAUGGUUCUUGCAACUGUUGCAGACACUUCAGUCCACACUGCAGUACUUGUUUCUCUUUUGAGUAGAAUGUAGUUGGUAACUUGACUUCCACCGUCAUACUUAGGUGGCUCCCAUUUGAGAGUCACACUUUCUUCAGUUAUAUCACUAAUAACAACAGGGCCAGUUGGAGGACCAGGCCUGUCUAGCACAACAAUGUUAAUGAAAGCUUUGGUUGUACCACUGGAGUUGGCAGCAGUGAUUUCAUAUCUCCCAGCGUCAGCUGUAACACUUUCUUUGAGAUUGAUGGUCAGGUUCUCAGCAGUAAUUUCGGUAUUAAAUCUCAUGGUUGCCUUAAGGGGGACACCAUCUCUUGAUAAGGUCACUUUGGGAAGUGGUUUUCCAGAGAUUGGAAUGUCAACUUUAAGGUUUGAACCAGCUCUAACAUAUACAGUGUGACUUGGGAAAUUCUUCAUAUCAAUUUCAGGUGGUUCUGAAAAAUGAGUAUAGAAAGUGAAAGUGAAAAAGUGUUUCUGAAAAUUAACAUAAAUCAAUGCAAAUAAUUUCAAAUUUUGCUUCUACACAAAAUUAGACAUACCUAGUUGCUCCUUAAUAAGAACAGGAAGCAGAAGCUCUCUCGGGUCACUCAGGCCAGCUUGAUUUUCAGCAAACACUCGGAAAAAGUAUUCAGAAUUCUCUCUCAGACCGGAAACAACGUGAUGGGUUGACUUUGCCACUGCACAUUUAACCCAGUUUUUCUGUCCUUUUUCUAGUGCUUCAACGACAUAGUGUACAAUUCUGCUUCCGCCAUCAUGUUCAGGCUUCAGCCAGGUCAGGGAAACACUGUCUUUGGAUAUACUUGUUACUCCAAGUUUUUCAGGUGGGCUUGGUUUUUCUAAGAAAACAAAGCAUCAAAAGAAAGUGAAUAAUUAUUACAGCACUUUUAAAUGUGCACUCUUCAUGUAUUGUCAAAAGAAAACUUUUAAAUGAAGGCCAUAUUUUUAUGUUGAUUUUAGUCUUCCUUUUUACAUAACCCAUUUUGCUUCUGAACCAACCAAGGCUCCCACAAGCUAUGUCAUUACAUGCUAUAGCAUUCAAAUCCAAAUUAAGGGUAAAAUGACCAGAUUAAAUGAUAAAAUUUACUCCAAAUUCACCAUGGGGAUAAAAAAGAGGAACAAGAUGAACAAUCUUUUAAAAAACUUUAUAUACAAUUUCUGUACACAC
rnacentral:lncRNA from 1 species